rnacentral:rRNA from 1 species
CCUACGGGAGACUGCAGUGGGGAAUAUUGGGCAAUGGGCGCAAGCCUGACCCAGCAACGCCGCGUGAAGGAAGAAGGCUUUCGGGUUGUAAACUUCUUUUAAGAGGGAAGAGCAGAAGACGGUACCUCUUGAAUAAGCCACGGCUAACUACGUGCCAGCAGCCGCGGUAAUACGUAGGUGGCAAGCGUUGUCCGGAUUUACUGGGUGUAAAGGGCGUGCAGGCGGGAAGACAAGUCAGAUGUGAAAUCCCUCGGGUUAAACGGGGAAGUGCAUUUGAAAUUGGUUUUCUUGAGUACCGGAGAGGUGAUUGGAAAUCCCUGGGGAGCGGUGAAAUGCGUAGAUAUAAGGAAGAACAACAGUGGCGAAGGCGGAUGACUGGACGGCAACUGACGGGGAGGCGCGAAAGCGUGGGUAGCAAACAGGAUUAGAUACCCCGGUAGUC